rnacentral:lncRNA from 1 species
UUGUUAAUCACCAGCUUCAAUAUCUGCCUCCCGAGCCAGAACAAGUAAGCUGUUAGCACGGCUGCAAACACGCCGAGGAUGACGGUACUCAGGAGAGGAUAAACGCACAGCGCGACCUCUUCCCCAUCGAUAAUAACUCGGGAAUAGGUCCUCGUGAAGCUGGGCGGCAGGUUUACGUAAGAGCCGCUACCACCGUUUAGGCGGGACUCGGAUAAAACAACCGCGAGUUGAAGAGCGAGCAUAGGGAGACAGUAAAGAAGGAUGUAACAAGCGGUGUUCCUGUUCCAUUUCCCGCUCAGAGCGCCCCCAGACUCCAUCUUGAGAGGAGCGCGCAGAAGAAACAUGAGCGUGAGAAAGAGGCAAGGCUCCGCAAACCCUAGAUUCGAGACGGUGUACCACUUGCAGACGUUUUCUUGCCAUCUGAGAUCCAACCCGCUCAGUAUCCUCCUGUGACGGCGAAACAAACUCAGCCGGAGAAUCUCGCCAACAGCCCAGCAGAUAGCGAAGAGGAUGAAAGCGAUACGGAUAAUCCAAGGGCCGCUGAAGUAACCGAGCUGGAGAAACCCUUGUUUACGAACGUGAGACUGGAAGUAGAAAGAGUAAGCGAUGCAGAGGAGACCGAGGAGGAUGAGGAGAAGGACUAGAGAGAUGGUCAGCACGCCGAAUGCAUCGGGAACUAAUUUGGUCAGGGGCAUCACCCAAAACACAGUAUCCACGCAUGCUCUCUACCAGCAUGGGUGCCUGCAGCCUUGUCUCCAAAACAAUGCCAAGCUACGGAAGACCCACAUUCAUUCACAGCAGCAGCAGCCCAGAUCACCCGAAUACUACUUUUGUGAUCUUUGACUCUUGCACUUUUUAUGCGUCUUACCUACAUAAACUGAACCAAAAUUAAUUAAUCAAAACAGACAUCAUGUAUCCAAGAUCUAAAAAAAUAAGACAAUAACAAAGCAACCUUCAAGACCACAAGGCUUCAAUAGGGUGAUUUUAAAGACAAGUCAACGAGGUUACAUAACCUUUUUUGUCAUCCCAAAAAGACAUUUUCUUUUCAGACAGAACCAAGAGAUUUUUUUUUUUUUUAAUUACAGCACCAAAGUCAAUACACGAGAGAAUCGCAGGAAGAAAAAUCAAUUUUAUGCGCAUAAUGCAAAACCAAACCAAUCAAGUACAACCAGAUCCGACAUAGAAGAAAACGAAUCCAAAGUCUAUUAAACAAAAUUUCGAAAGAGAGCUUACAAGGAGGAGAAUCUGGAUCCAAAAGAGUUAGAACGGGGAAGAUCUGAGCAGCGGCGGAGAAAAAGAGAGAAGGGGAGAGAGAGAGAUUGGAGGAAUGAGGCGUAAAGAGAGACAAAGGAGAGGAAGAAGAAAAAGGAGGAGAGAUAUGGAAGGAGAAGAAGGAAACUCUCCGUUGGUGACAGGCUGUUUCCAACGUUGGGACUUUGAAAUUUUAUUAAUUUAUAAAUAUAUUAAUUUAUAAAAGUUUCUUUGUUUAGAUUUUUUAUUUUAAGAUAUAUUUAUUCUAAAAUAAGAAAAAAAAUUGAUUUUAGUGUAUUAGCUAGACACUAAUUGUUAUUUACUAAAAUUUGACAUUUAUAUUAGUAUUAUUUUAUCAUUUGGUGUAUAAAAUAUAUAUUGCAUAGAAUUUAAAUGUGAUUUUAGAUAUAAUAUUACUAAAUGCUGCAGACGCUUGUUAAUCACCAGCUUCAAUAUCUGCCUCCCGAGCCAGAACAAGUAAGCUGUUAGCACGGCUGCAAACACGCCGAGGAUGACGGUACUCAGGAGAGGAUAAACGCACAGCGCGACCUCUUCCCCAUCGAUAAUAACUCGGGAAUAGGUCCUCGUGAAGCUGGGCGGCAGGUUUACGUAAGAGCCGCUACCACCGUUUAGGCGGGACUCGGAUAAAACAACCGCGAGUUGAAGAGCGAGCAUAGGGAGACAGUAAAGAAGGAUGUAACAAGCGGUGUUCCUGUUCCAUUUCCCGCUCAGAGCGCCCCCAGACUCCAUCUUGAGAGGAGCGCGCAGAAGAAACAUGAGC